AGCAGCCGCGGUAAUUCCAGCUCCAAUAGCGUAUAUUAAAGUUGUUGCAGUUAAAAGCUCGUAGUUGAAUUUCGGGAUUGGCGCAUCGGUCGUGCCUCACGGGGUAUGAACUGGUGCAGUCAAUUUCUCACCUUCUGGAGAACCGCGAUGUCCUUAAUUGGAUGCCGUGGGGAACCAGGACCUUUACUUUGAAAAAUUGAGUGUUUAAAGCAGGCAUUUUUGCUUGAAUACAUUAGCAUGGAAUAAUAAAAUAGGACGGCAUGGUUCUAUUUUGCUGGUUUCUAGGACCACCGUAAUGAUUAAUAGGGAUAGUUGGGGGCAUUAGUAUUCAAUUGUCAGAGGUGAAAUUCUUGGAUUUAUUGAAGACUAACUACUGCGAAAGCAUUUGCCAAGGAUGUUUUCAUUAAUCAAGAACGAAAGUUAGGGAUCGAAGACGAUCAGAUACCGUCGUAGUCUUAACCAUAAACUAUGACCGACUAGAAUCAGACGAUGUUAAUUUUUAAUGUACUUCGUUUGGCUA
rnacentral:misc_RNA from 1 species